UAUAUAAAAAUGAGUGUUUAUUUCUGAAGCAGUUGAGGUAUCUGCAAAUAUUUCAGCUUCAUUACAGUUUGAUCUAUGAUAGCUCUGCUCAGCAACAGAAUGGAAAAGACUACCUGACCUCCAUGGACAGCAGCAAUUUUAUCAUCACUGGUGCUGUUUGCCUAACACGUCGUGAAAGGGCCACAGCUAAAGGACCACCCUGAGCUUAUAUAUUGUGAGGCAGAGGAACAGAUCCUUCAGUGGUUCAUUGAAGUUCUCAAAGUGUAUUUGUAAGUAUUUGAUUUUUUCUGGUUUCUUGGAUUUUUUUUUCAC